rnacentral:rRNA from 1 species
AGGCUGAAACUACGCCUACCAUGAAGCUGAAAUUGCUAGUAAUCACAGGUCAGCAUACUGUGGUGAAUACGUUCCCGGGCCUUGUACACACCGCCCGUCACACCAUGAGAGUUGAGAAUACCCGAAGCCCAUGUCAAAGUGGUCGAAGGUAGGCUUGAUGAUUGGGGUGAAGUCGUAACAAGGUACC